AUGUGUGUACCGAAGAAAAAAGGUGGCAUGGGGUUUAGAGACCUUCAUAGUUUUGAUCUUGCUAUGUUAGCAAAGCAGUGUUGGCGACUACUCGAAAAUCCCGAUUCUUUGUGUGCAUGAGUUCUGAGGGCAAAAUAUUAUCCCAAUGGAGAUAUUCUGAAAUCUGGCCCCAAGAAAGGUUCUUCAUUCACUUGGCAGAGUAUUGCUGGUAUUCAAACUUUCAGAAGGGGAUGCAUAUGGCGUGUGGGUUCUGGUUCACACAUUAACAUUUGGGACGACCCGUGGAUACCCACUAGUAUGAACAGAAAGCCUACUACCCCUAGGGGGGGUAUUAUACUAACAAAAGUGGAAGAGAUAAUUGACCCCCACACAGGACAAUGGGAUGAGGCACUUAUUUGCAGCAUCUUUUUCUCAGUCGAUGUGCAUAGAAUUCUACAAAUUCCUCUUCAUGUGGAGGCCGUUGAAGAUUUUGUAGCUUGGCAACAUACAAGGACUGGGACCUUUUCCAUGCGUUCGGCAUACCAUGUUGAAUUUGAGCAUCAACUCGGACAGCACUUGAAUUGGACUAGCCCAAGUAGUGCCUCAUUAAAUGGAGUUUGGAAAGAUCUUUGGAAACUGCGACUACCAGGGAAGAUCAAACACUUUGGCUGGAAAGUGUUGAAGGGGGUUCUUCCAUGCUAUGGUGUCCUUGCUAAUAGACAUAUUCCUCUGAUUCCGCAAUGUCCGACCUGUUCCAUCAGAUUAGAAGAUAUACAACAUUGCUUGUUCACUUGUACCGGGGCACACACAAUUUGGACGGAGCUAGGACUAUCACAGGAGAUUGAACGGGUGGUUUGCCAGGACCGAUCGGGCUGUAUUAACCUUGACAGACUGAUCCAGAUGCAGUCGUCAAUACAUAACAUUCCUAUAGCUGAGCUCGCCCUUGUAGCAAUGUGGUUUAUUUGGUGGCAAAGGAGAAUCCAUACAAAAGGUGAGAUAGUUCAGAUGCCUCAACAAGCAGCUAUGACGAUCCGGGUACUAGCAAGAAUUUUUUUACGAGCAAACACUCCAAACUAG
rnacentral:rRNA from 1 species